GUAUGUACAUUAUCAUCAUAUUACAUAUCAUCAUAUUAUAUCGUAUUGCAAUGGCUGCCGUAGACUCAAAUCACCUACAACAUCCUUCCUCGCCUGUUCUCGGUCAAUAGAAUAUACCCGUUUACUAUUUGAUCCUUCCGCAGGUUCACCUACGGAAA
rnacentral:misc_RNA from 1 species